rnacentral:rRNA from 1 species
GAUGAACGCUAGCGGCAGGCCUAAUACAUGCAAGCCGGACGGCAAGUUGAGUAGCAAUACUUGACCUAGAGUGGCGUAAGGGUGCGUAACACGUAUGCAAUCUGCCCACAGCCGGGAGAUAGCCCUCCGAAAGGAGGAUUAAUAUCCCAUAGGAAGAUGAAAUGGCAUCAUUUUAUUUUAAACUACGGGGCUGUGGAUGAGCAUGCGGUUGAUUAGCUAGUUGGCGGGGUAAAGGCCCACCAAGGCGAUGAUCAAUAGGGGACCUGAGAGGGUGAUCCCCCACACUGGCACUGAGAUACGGGCCAGACUCCUACGGGAGGCAGCAGUAGGGAAUAUUGGUCAAUGGGCGAAAGCCUGAACCAGCCAUGCCGCGUGCAGGAAGACGGUCCUAUGGAUUGUAAACUGCUUUAUUUGGGAAUAAACUCUGAUACGUGUAUCAGCCUGAAGGUACCAAAGUGAAUAAGCACCGGCUAACUCCGUGCCAGCAGCCGACGG